rnacentral:tRNA from 1 species
GGAGAGGUAGCUUAGCAGUUAAGAGCUCUUCCAGAGGACCUGGGUUCAAUUCCCAGCACCCCCU